rnacentral:rRNA from 1 species
GGAAAGGCCCAGCUUGCUGGGUGCUCGAGUGGGGAACGGGUGAGUAACACGUGGGUGAUCUGCCCCUGACUUUGGGAUAAGCCUGGGAAACUGGGUCUAAUACCGGAUAUGACCUUACGUUGCAUGACGUUUGGUGGAAAGCCUUGUGCGGUUGGGGAUGGGCCCGCGGCCUAUCAGCUUGUUGGUGGGGUAAUGGCCUACCAAGGCGACGACGGGUAGCCGACCUGAGAGGGUGAUCGGCCACACUGGGACUGAGACACGGCCCAGACUCCUACGGGAGGCAGCAGUGGGGAAUAUUGCACAAUGGGCGCAAGCCUGAUGCAGCGACGCCGCGUGAGGGAUGACGGCCUUCGGGUUGUAAACCUCUUUCACCAGGGACGAAGCUCUUGUGACGGUACCUGGAGAAGAAGCACCGGCCAACUACGUGCCAGCAGCCGCGGUAAUACGUAGGGUGCGAGCGUUGUCCGGAAUUACUGGGCGUAAAGAGCUCGUAGGCGGUUUGUCGCGUCGUCUGUGAAAUUCUGCAGCUUAACUGCAGGCGUGCAGGCGAUACGGGCAGACUUGAGUACUACAGGGGAGACUGGAAUUCCUGGUGUAGCGGUGAAAUGCGCAGAUAUCAGGAGGAACACCGGUGGCGAAGGCGGGUCUCUGGGUAGUAACUGACGCUGAGGAGCGAAAGCGUGGGUAGCGAACAGGAUUAGAUACCCUGGUAGUC